AUUGAACGCUGGCGGCAGGCCUAACACAUGCAAGUCGAGCGGGGGUAGCAAUACCCUAGCGGCGAACGGGUGAGGAAUGCUUGGGAAUCUGCCUGGUAGUGGGGGAUAACGUUCCGAAAGGAACGCUAAUACCGCAUACGUCCUACGGGAGAAAGGGGGGGGAUCUUCGGACCUCUCGCUAUCAGAUGAGCCCAAGCCGGAUUAGCUAGUUGGUGGGGUAAAGGCCCACCAAGGCGACGAUCCGUAGCUGGUCUGAGAGGAUGAUCAGCCACACUGGAACUGAGACACGGUCCAGACUCCUACGGGAGGCAGCAGUGGGGAAUAUUGGACAAUGGGCGAAAGCCUGAUCCAGCCAUGCCGCGUGUGUGAAGAAGGCCUGGUUGUAAGCACUUUAAGACGGGGAGGAAGGGUUCGCGUACUUAAUACGUAGCGGAAUUAGACGUUACCCGUCGAGAAUAAGACACCGGC
rnacentral:rRNA from 1 species